CAUUUAUACCACCCUAACUUAAUACGCCAUGGGGUUUUUACCUUAACUGCAAGGAGCAAAAAAGUUCUGGUAAAUCCUGAAGAUGACAAAGAUCGUGGAUGGUAUAUCCGUUACGUUGCUGUUCGUACGGUGGACUUGAUUGGCGAAACAAAUACUCCCUUCCCUGAGAAGUGGAAUUUUGCACCAACCAUGGGAGAUGUGGAACCUAUUCCCAACUUCCGUGGUUGGGUAGACUCAAUUUUGAAGAUUGCUUCUAGGGAGCAAAGAACUUGGAAAUCGAUUUCUUCCUUACAUGGCUGGAAGGUGAAAACACAUGGAUUUGGCGUUAGAGGAAUGACGGCUGAAGUAGCUAUGGCCAUUCGCAUGUCUGCUAAUGCUGCUCUUGAUUUGGAUAAGGCUCGAGCCUUGCUGCC